rnacentral:lncRNA from 1 species
CUUGUUUAUUUUCCUGUUUAUGCAUAAUUGAUGAGAGCUAGCAAGCAGACUAGCAUCUCUCUCUCACUCACUCUGUUUCACUUCAAAAAAAAAACAGAGCAUUAGUUCUCUAACUCUGUUCUUCCUCCAUCAACCACCUCCAGACGUCGGAUCACUCCCUUGGGCUUCGCCUGAGGCUGCUCUACCUAUUGGACGUCGUCUUUCUCCCCGGCACGGCCUCAAGGUUCGGCAAACCAGCUCGAACCCGGUUGCACCCAAAACCGAACUAACUCAUCCUCCUCGUGUUUCCGGCCACCAAUCCUCACCAAAAUUCAUCCUUGAGCUCAUAUCAACCUCCAGAAGCUCUCAGCAAUGUCCCUUCACGGCGAUGCUGUGCGUGGUGGCAGUUGGAAGCCAGACCCGAUCAAAAAAAUCAAAACUGAGCUUUCAACCCGGAUACCUCGUGCUAUAGACCACCAAUUCUUAUGAUUCUUUACCUGAAAGGAUCGCCUUGAGUUACUGAACAACUCUCCAGAAGUAAUCGAAGCCAUUGGUGGAAGUUUUUAAGUCGAAAUCACAGCUCACCGGAUUCUGGAAAAUUUCCGGCCACCGAGAAUUUCGAUCAAGAUAUCUUGAGCUGUAGAGCUUCGUUUUGAGUGAUUCUUGAACCAGUGAAUUCACCUUGAUCUUAUUAACAACUCUACAGAAGGAAUCGAGGCCUGAAAUUGAAUUUUUACGUCGAAAUCAAGCUCGCCGAUUUCUGCAAUUCUCGCCGGUUUCUGGAAACAUUCCGGCCACCUCGGCUGUUUUAGGUGAUUGACGGUCUUCCUUGGUGAGCGGUUUUGGUGUGUAUUGUGAAAUUGAAGACGCAGCGGGAUUAGAGAGUGCAAUCAAUGUCGGGAAAUCCUACAGGUCAGGAGAAUCGAGAAGGUGAUCAGGCUGCUUAGUGUAGUGGUAUUUGAGUUACAGCUUUUUUGUGAGGUUGUUAUGCUCACUGAGCUUACAUUUAAAUAUGGAGAGAGUGUGCUGUAAUAUUAAACUCAUGAGGAUUUGGUUUAUGUAUUAGUGAGUGAGGCAAGGUGUGUUUAUUUCUGAGAAAAAAAUUAAGAACGUUUAUUUGAUUUAGUUGUUAUUUCAUGUUUCGGAUUUGAAUUUAUUAUUCAAAAUUCAGGGCGUGACAGGAGAUCUGAAAAAAUUACUUU